AGAGUUUGAUCCUGGCUCAGGAUGAACGCUGGCGGCGUGGAUAAGGCAUGCAAGUCGAACGGAACUAUUUUUGAAGGAGUUGCGAUUACAUCAAGACUUCGGAUUUAAUAGUUUAGUGGCGAACGAGUUAGUAACACCUUAGUACAUAACCCAAAGUCUGGCAUAAUCUGCCGAAAGGCAGACUAAUUCCAGAUGGCAUCGUAAGAUUAAAGUCGCAAGACGCUUUGGGAGUGGCUUAGGUCCUAUCAGCUAGUUGGUGAGGUAAUGGCUCACCAAGGCUAUGACGGGUAGGGGGCGUGAGAGCGUGAUCCCCAACGACGAGACUGAGACACGGCUCGUACACCUACGGGUGGCAGCAGUCGAGAAUAUUCCGCAAUGGGCGAAAGCCUGACGGAGCGACGCCGCGUGCAGGAAGAAGGCCUUCGGGUUGUAAACUGCUUUUGCGUGGGAAGAAAUUUGACGGUACCACGAGAAUAAGGGGUUGCUAACUCUGUGCCAGCAGCAGCGGUAAUACAGAGACCCCGAGCGUUAUCCGGAAUUACUGGGCGUAAAGCGCAAGUAGUCGGUUUUUAUAGUCUGAUGUUAAAUCUCAUGGCUCAACUGUGAGACCGCAUCGGAAACGUAAAGACUAGAGCAAAUCAGAGGCAAGCGGAACGUGUGGUGUAGCGGUGAAAUGCGUUGAUAUCACACGGAACACCAAAAGCGAAGGCAGCUUGCUGGGGUUUUGCUGACGAUCAGUUGCGAAAGCGUGGGGAUCAAAAAGGAUUAGAUACCCUGGUAGUCC
rnacentral:rRNA from 1 species